AACGCACAUUGCGCCCCUCGGCAUUCCGGGGGGCACGCCUGUCCGAGCGUCAUUGCAACCCUCAAGCCCUGCUUGGUCUUGGGCGAGGUCUCGCGACCCGCCCGCAACACGUCGAGCGGUGCCUUCCGGUCUCGAGCGUAGCAAGGAGAGAUCCGUCGCUACGGGACCCGGGAGGCGCCCGCCCAGCAACCGCCACAGAGUUUGACCUCGGAUCAGGUGGGGAUACCCGCUGAACUUAA
rnacentral:misc_RNA from 1 species